UGAGCAAUCUGCCCUUCUCAUCGGAAUAAGCGUUGGAAACGACGUCUAAUGCCGAAUACGACCUCCUUUCGCAUGAUCGGAGGUGGAAAGCUCCGGCGGAGAAGGAUGAGCUCGCGGCCUAUCAGCUAGUUGGUGUGGGUAAUGGCCCACCAAGGCGACGACGGGUAGCCGGCCUGAGAGGGCGACCGGCCACACGUGGGACUGAGACACGGCCCAGACCUCCGUACGGGAGCAG
rnacentral:rRNA from 1 species